UGAGUCCAGACCGAGACCCAGAGAAAUGUAAACAAACGCACCAGUCAGACUUGAUAUAGGAGUGAAUUUGUUGCUUUUUAAAGCGGCAGUCGGUCUGUACAUGUGUGAGGUGGCGAGGGGUGUCGCCAGGGGGCGGCUAGUAGCGUCUGCCACCAGGGAAAUAUGUAAAAACAUAAAAAAGACGCUUCUCAAGAAAGAGAGGGGCAGUCGGUCUGUACAUGCGUGAGGUGGCGAGAGGCGUGUCCAGGGGGCGGCUAGUAGCGUGUGCCACCGUGGAAAUAUGUACAGACAUAAAGAAGACGCCCUCAAGAAAGGCCUGAGUCCAGACCGAGACCCAGAGAAAUGUAAACAAACGCACCAGUCAGACUUGAUAUAGGAGUGAAUUUGUUGCUUUUUAAAGCGGCAGUCGGUCUGUACAUGUGUGAGGUGGCGAGGGGUGUCGCCAGGGGGCGGCUAGUAGCGUCUGCCACCAGGGAAAUAUGUAAAAACAUAAAAAAGACGCUUCUCAAGAAAGGUAAGGCCGGUUGCAGCU